CUUAAAUUCCUUCACCCUUUCUACCUUUUCUCUCCCUUUCCAAUCCUUCAGAUUCAUUUGCUUAAUUUUAUUAGAUACGUACACACUGUGUAAGAGGAGAAAUGUCUGAGGACAGCAAGUACGUCGAGCACUGUAAGGGCAUUAAUGGCCUCGACAAGGUCAUCUUGCGUGAGGUUCGUGGCUGUUCUGCCGAGAUCUACUUGUAUGGAG
rnacentral:misc_RNA from 1 species